GCCCGGAUGGCGGAAUGGUAGACGCGCUACAUUCAGGUUGUAGUGUCCUAAGGAUGUGCAAGUUCGAGUCUUGUUCCGGGUA
rnacentral:tRNA from 2 species